rnacentral:piRNA from 1 species
AGCCUGUGGGUACCGAGGCAUGC